rnacentral:rRNA from 1 species
AUUGAACGCUGGCGGCAGGCCUAACACAUGCAAGUCGAACGGUAACAGGAAACAGCUUGCUGUUUCGCUGACGAGUGGCGGGCGGGUGAGUAAUGUCUGGGAAACUGCCUGAUGGAGGGGGAUAACUACUGGAAACGGUAGCUAAUACCGCAUAACGUCGCAAGCCCAAAGAGGGGGACCUUCGGGCCUCGUGCCAUCGGAUGUGCCCAGCUGGGAAUAGCUAGUAGGUGGGGUAACGGCUCACCUAGGCGACGAUCCGUAGCUGGUCUGAGAGGAUGACCAGCGACACUGGAACUGGGACACGGUCCAGACUCCUACGGGAGGCAGCAGUGGGGAAUAUUGCACAAUGGGCGCAAGCCUGAUGCAGCCAUGCCGCGUGUAUGAAGAAGGCCUUCGGGUUGUAAAGUACUUUCAGCGGGGAUGAAGGGAGUAAAGUUAAUACCUUGGCUCAUUGACGGUACCCGCAGAAGAAGCACCGGCUAACUCCGUG